GCUUCAGUUAAUGUUUCAAUUAUUUGUAUUUUUUUAUUAAAUUAAAUUUAAAUUUAAAAUAUUAAAAUUUAAUUAAUUUUGAAUCAAAUUUCGAUCUCAAAUAUUUUAAAUUGAAUUGUGGGGCCUCUGGCUGCUGAAUUUGAUUUGAGUUAAGUGUACCUCUGAUGCAACCCCACAAAGAACCAUGCAAGCAAUCAAUGUGCACGUGCGGAUGUACCAAAAUCUUGGGGGUGGGGGGGGACAUAAGGACAAAGGCGCAUCUCCUCAAGCUCCACGUUGGUGUAAGCCUCUUCAAUAUCAACGUGCGCAUGGUUGUUGCAACGUGGACCGCUAGACCUCACUAGUGAAGGGAUAGUAACAGCAAGUCAAAAUUGGACGGAGGCAGCCAAUGCUGCUCCUCUAUUCGUAGGCCGAGUAGGUUGCAGAGUAGGAGGAUGGAGGAAGAGGCCCUCAUGCCAUCACCAUGCCGAGCACAACCAAACCAGUGGAUCCGAUGCAGAUUCAUAUUAAUGGGGUUCAUUCGAUUUGGCAUGAAAGAAAUGUAAGGAUGUUCCUUUUAAAAAAAAAAAUUCCUCAAUUUAAUCCGUCCCCUAAAAAACUCUUCAUGUACUGAGAAAUCCUAUUUACAAAGCAAAUGAGGGAAUGUCACAAAAAAUACGAAACUUAAUAUCUCAUUUUCUCAUUUAGCUCGAUCUAGCAAGGAACCAAUGGGGUCCUAGGUAUUUUCCUUCCUCCUCCGUAAUAAUAUCUUCUU
rnacentral:lncRNA from 1 species